AAAUUUUGCUCCUUAUUGUCCUUCAUAUAUUUUGCACAUUUAAUCUUUACAUUGAGGACAAUGUUUCAUUUAGGUUGGGGGAAGGAAUCAAAAUGUUCCAAAAAAAAAAAAAGUUCUUACCGACCGAUGAUAAUAUUUGAAAUUGUUUUUAUAUUAUUAUGACUAGGGGAUGCUGCUUUGAUUUAGUUUAAGCUUGUUCAUGUUAGAUUGAUCUACAUUGAGCACAAUAAUCAUGAAAAUCACAUAUUAUUUGGAUUGGAUCAAUGGAUAGAAUAUGUAGAAUUAACUAUGAAAAAAAAAACAAAAAAAAAAUCCAACUAAACCAAUUCUAGGAUAGUUUGGGGUGGUUGAACUGUUGUGGGGAGACAUUGAGAUAGAUGUGGAUUCCAUGUGUGUUAAAUUUUCUGUGGAUUGCUUAAGACCAAUGAGAUGACAAGUAGGUGAAAAUCUUAAGUUAAAGAUCGAUUUUCGAGAAUAAGUGUUUAAUGAGGGGCAUUGCACUAAUCAUUGCAAAGAAGGGAAAAAGCUGCCAUGUUGUGAAGCUACCCUAAAAGAGCCCAAUGAGAACAAUUAUAUACAUAAAAAGAGAUAGGCUAGUGCAUGAAACAGAAUACGCACGGCAAACUUGAAAAAAAGCAGGUGCAUGAAACAGAAGACGCACUACAUGCCUUGAUUAAGUCCCAAACACUUAUUUUAGAGAAUUAGACCUUUGAUAAGGGAUUACUAACUUAGUUGAUUCUUGGAGGUUGAGUCGGUCAAAAUUAAGGAGAAUCCUCAUUUAUUGAUGUGUUGAGCUACAAUUAGUAAAAUCUAACCAAACUAGAGAGGGUGAGUAAUAGUAUAAAUCACACCUUGGGAAAAUAGUUAGAAAAUCAAGUUUGAGGGUGUGCAUCCCACGAGAGAAGAGAGAAAUAAUUGACCAUUGAGGGUUGGGAUGAGUCCAAUUUAAAAAAGUAUGUGAUUGAAUUGAUUAUGCAUACACACACGCUGGUCGAGCAUUGGACAAGUUAGACUAUAUUUUGGUAACAAACCUUAGAAGAAUUUUGAUAAGCAAUUUCAAAUCCCAAGGCAAAUGGGACAAGCUAUUUCAUUGGAACUAUUUUUUGAAUUUUCAUUGCUAGAGACUAGCAAUAUCUUGGUUGGGGAGUGUGAUUAGUGUCUAAAAGUGCUUCAAAGAUAUAUCAUUUACAAGACAUUUUACAUUCACUUUGUUUGAAAACACUAAUGUUAGUCUCUAAUUUCAAUUCUCUUGCCGUAAAUUCAAUUUUCAUAAAUACAUGGUUUAAAAUGCAAUUAAUUGAAAUACGUAUUUACAUACAUGUCGGUAU
rnacentral:lncRNA from 1 species